rfam:Lasius niger Lnig_2.1_40343, whole genome shotgun sequence.
GUGGCGAUAGCUCAAUUGGUUAGAGCAGUCCUCCGGCAAAGGAAAGGUUGUGGGUUCAAGCCCCACUCGCACCA